rnacentral:rRNA from 1 species
GACGGAGGAUGCAAGUGUUAUCCGGAAUCACUGGGCGUAAAGGGCGCGUAGGCGGUUCGCUAAGUUGAACGUGAAAACUCUGGGCUUAACCCAGAGCCUGCAUUCAAUACUGGCGAGCUAGAGUUCUGGAGGGGAUAGCGGAAUUCCUGGUGUAGCGGUGAAAUGCGUAGAUAUCAGGAGGAACACCGGUGGCGAAGGCGGCUAUCUGGACAGAGUCUGACGCUGAGGCGCGAAAGCUAGGGGAGCAAACAGG